rnacentral:rRNA from 1 species
UACGUAGGGUGCGAGCGUUAAUCGGAAUUACUGGGCGUAAAGCGUGCGUAGGCGGUUUGCCGUGUCCUGUGUGAAAGCCCCGGGCUCAACCUGGGAAUUGCAUGGGAAACUGGCAGGCUUGAGUGUGGCAGAGGAGGGUGGAAUUCCGCGUGUAGCAGUGAAAUGCGUAGAGAUGCGGAGGAACACCGAUGGCGAAGGCAGCCCCUCUGGGCCAACACUGACGCUCAGGUACGAAAGCGUGGGGAGCAAACAGG